rnacentral:rRNA from 1 species
UACGUAGGUGGCAAGCGUUGUCCGGAUUUCUUGGGUUUAAAGGGUGCGUAGGCGGCUUUGUAAGUCAGUGGUGAAAUAUGGCAGCUUAACUGUCAGGGUGCCAUUGAUACUGCGGAGCUUGAGUACAGAUGAGGUAGGCGGAAUUGACGGUGUAGCGGUGAAAUGCUUAGAUAUCGUCAAGAACACCUAUAGCGAAGGCAGCUUACUAGGCUGUAACUGACGCUGAGGCACGAAAGUGUGGGGAUCAAACAGG